AAAAAAAGUUUUUUAUGCUUUAUUUUAUUUUAAGAUUGAAUUUUAUAUGUAAAUUUUUGUGUGAAAAAAAAUUAAUUUUAAAUAGAUUUAUUUAAUUAUAUAUUUUCAAUAAAAAAUUUUAAUUAAUUUAAGAAAUUAAGAAUUAGUUAAGAAAUUUAAUAUUAACAAAAUUUGUGCCAGCAGUUGCGGUUAUACAUAUAAUAUAAUAAUAAAAGCUUGGUUGUUAAUUAAUAUGAAUUAGGUGAAAUUUUAAAAUUAAUUUUAUUAGGUGAAAUUUUAAAGUUAAGUUAUUUUUAUUAGAAAUUAUGAGGUUAAGAAAUUUAAUAUAUAAACUAGGAUUAGAUACCCUAUUAUUUUAAAUGUAAAAAAUAAAUGCUUGAUUAGUAGUAGUUAUGGUCUUGGAAAUUAAAGAAAUUGGCGGUAUUUUAGUCUAUUCAGAGGAAUUUGUUCUGUAAUUGAUAGUCCACGAGUUAAUUUACUUAUUUUAUAAUUUACAUAUCGCUGUAGUUUGAAUAUUUUUAUAGAAUAGCAAUAUUCAAGAUUUAUUUUAUAGAAAAAAUCAAGUCAAGAUGUAGUUUAUAGAUAAGGAGAGAUGAAUUACAAUAAAUUUAUUUAUUAAUGAAUUAGAAAGUGAAAUAUUUUUAUGAAGGUGGAUUUGAAAGUAAUUUUAUUUAAAUUAUUAAUAUGAUUUUAGCUCUAAAAUAUGCACAUAUCGCCCGUCGCUUUCAUUAUAAAGUGGAAUAAGUUGUAACAAAGUGGGCAUACUGGAAAGUGUGCCUAGAAAGA
rnacentral:ncRNA from 1 species